rnacentral:rRNA from 1 species
UGGGGAAUUUUCCGCAAUGGGCGAAAGCCUGACGGAGCAAUACCGCGUGAGGGAUGACGGCCUAUGGGUUGUAAACCUCUUUUUUCAGGGAGGAAUCAAUGACGUGUACCUGAAGAAUAAGCAUCGGCUAACUCCGUGCCAGCAGCCGCGGUAAGACGGAGGAUGCAAGUGUUAUCCGGAAUCACUGGGCGUAAAGCGUCUGUAGGUGGUCCAAUAAGUCAACUGUUAAAUCUUGAGGCUCAACCUCAAAAUCGCAGUCGAAACUGUUAGACUAGAGUAUAGUAGGGGUAAAGGGAAUUUCCAGUGGAGCGGUGAAAUGCGUAGAUAUUGGAAGGAACACCGAUGGCGAAGGCACUUUACUGGGCUAUUACUAACACUCAGAGACGAAAGCUAGGGUAGCAAAUG